UCCGUAGGCGGGUUUAUAAGUCAGUGGUGAAAGUUUGCGGCUCAACCGUAAAAUUGCCAUUGAUACUGUAGACCUUGAAUUAGUGUGAAGUGGUUAGAAUGUGUAGUGUAGCGGUGAAAUGCAUAGAUAUUACACAGAAUACCAAUUGCGAAGGCAGAUCACUAACACUAUAUUGACGCUGAGGGACGAAAGCGUGGGGAGCGAACAGGAUUAGAUACCCUGGUAGUC
rnacentral:rRNA from 1 species